rfam:Flavobacterium sp. FPG59 Contig_50, whole genome shotgun sequence.
CCCUAGCCCCAAUAGCAGUGAAAAUCCUUUUCAUUUUUUCUUUAAAAAUGGAAAGAUUGCAACGGAUAGUGGGACAUCGC